AUAAAGGUUAACUUACAUGAUUCUCUCUAUUCGCCUACUAAGCCUACUACUCAUCGCCUUCAAUGUGCGCGGUAUGCUGGUGGGUGCAAGUAAAAGUUAAGUUAACCUCACCAGAAAAAAAACCCGCGCAUGGCGCGGGUUUUUUU
rfam:Xenorhabdus khoisanae strain MCB contig054, whole genome shotgun sequence.